rnacentral:rRNA from 1 species
AGAAUCAACGCUGGCGGCGUGCCUAACACAUGCAAGUCGAACGAGAAAGGGACUUCGGUCCUGAGUACAGUGGCGCACGGGUGAGUAACACGUGACUAACCUACCUGGAGUGGGGAAUAACUGAGGGAAACCUUAGCUAAUACCGCAUAAUACCUACGGGUCAAAGGAGCAAUUCGCUUCAGGAGGGGGUCGCGGCCGAUUAGCUAGUUGGCGGGGUAAUGGCCCACCAAGGCAAUGAUCGGUA